rnacentral:rRNA from 1 species
UACGUAGGGGGCAAGCGUUGUCCGGAUUUAUUGGGCGUAAAGAGCGUGUAGGCGGCCAUACAGGUCCGUUGUGAAAACUGGAGGCUUAACCUCCAGACGUCGAUGGAAACCGUAUGGCUAGAGUCCGGAAGAGGAGAGUGGAAUUCCUGGUGUAGCGGUGAAAUGCGCAGAUAUCAGGAAGAACACCCGUGGCGAAGGCGGCUCACUGGACUGGUAUUGACGCUGAGGUGCGAAAGCGUGGGGAGCAAACAGG